CCUGGACCACAUUCUCCAGCAGCUUUUAUUCAUCCAAAGCUGCUUCCAAAAGGGCUCAGGGGCAUCAGUCGGUCAGCAGCAAUCAGUGGGUUAAUACAGCCUCACUUCUGCCUCCGUCAGAUGUUCAGGAGAAGAUAAUGAGGCAGGGACAGAGCCUGCAGGUUAAUGACAUACCCCAACUGGAAGACAGAAAUCUGAGAGGAGAGACUGGGAAGCAGAAGAGGAAAGGGAAAUGCAAGUGAACCACUGAAACAAAAUACAUUGGCAAAUAAGAAAGAAAUCACAAGGCAGACAAGAGCUGCCCUGAACAAUGGUGGAGAGGAGGUUGGCACAGCCAAGUUCUCUGCAGUCACCCUGCUGCUGCAUGUGGAUCAGAUUCAGACCAGGGCAGUGGGAUGCAACAAGCUGAAUUUCUUGACUGACCUUCAGCCUUCCCCCUCCGUGGCAAUAUACAGCUUUCUGUUCUGCUAAGUGAAAGUCAGAAACAGGGGCCAACUGAAAAGUAAUUCUUUUCACUCUUUUGCAGAAACAACAAAAAGGUUGCUUCUGAAGAUGAGAAAUUCUUUUGCUCAUCUCUACUGGAGACUGAAUUGUUUAUUGUAUUGACUGCCCAUCAUUGUGGGCUGGGUUUUAACAGAUAUGACAAUUUAUCUGUAUCAAGGAUGGGGGGGGUGCUGUUGUGAUACAUUAAAUACCUUUGCAAUCUUUUUUAUUUUUUUUCUUCUUAUCUUUCUUUCUCUCUUUCUUUUUUU
rnacentral:lncRNA from 1 species